AGGAGUGUACUCUAUAAAUAUUUUUACGAACCGUUUCUGUCAAACCUUUUCUUUUUCUAUUUCGAAUUCGAACCAUUUUGUUGUAAAUGAAAAAAGCGCAUUUUUGUAUAUAUUGAUAUAUAUAUACUGUAAUGUAUUCUAUGUAUCUUAUAGAAAUUGAAAAUACUCUUUCAAUCAAACAAAUAUUUGAAUUAUUCCCGUAUUCUUAUUUUAAGAAAAUCAAGGGAAUAAAAAAGAAAAAGAAAUGGAUUCUUAUUC
rnacentral:lncRNA from 1 species